rnacentral:tRNA from 1 species
GGGCCCGUAGCUCAGCUUGGAUAGAGCGGCAGACUUCUAAUCUGAAGGUCGAGGGUUCAAAUCCCUCCGGGCUCA